AAUCAACGCUGGCGGCGUGCCUCAGACAUGCAAGUCGAACGAUUAAAGCUCUCUUCGGAGAGUGCAUAGAGUGGCGCACGGGUGAGUAACACGUAAGUAAUCUACCCUCGAGUGGGGAAUAACGUCCGGAAACGGGCGCUAAUACCGCAUAAUGCAGCGGCAUCAUAAGAUGACAGUUGUUAAAGAUUUAUCGCUUGAGGAGGAGCUUGCGGCAGAUUAGCUAGUUGGUAAGGUAACGGCUUACCAAGGCUACGAUCUGUAACCGGUCUUAGAGGACGGUCGGUCACACUGACACUGAAUAACGGGUCAGACUCCUACGGGAGGCAGCAGUCGGGAAUUCUGGGCAAUGGGCGAAAGCCUGACCCAGCAACGCCGCGUGAAGGAUGAAGUAUUUCGGUAUGUAAACUUCGAAAGAAUAGGAAGAAUUAAUGACGGUACUAUUUAUAAGCUCCGGCUAACUCCGUGCCAGCAGCCGCGGUAAUAC
rnacentral:rRNA from 1 species